GACGAACGCUGGCGGCGUGCCUAAUACAUGCAAGUAGAACGCUGAAGGAGGAGCUUGCUUCUCUGGAUGAGUUGCGAACGGGUGAGUAACGCGUAGGUAACCUGCCUGGUAGCGGGGGAUAACUAUUGGAAACGAUAGCUAAUACCGCAUAAGAGUAGAUGUUGCAUGACAUUUGCUUAAAAGGUGCAAUUGCAUCACUACCAGAUGGACCUGCGUUGAAUUAGCUAGUUGGUGGGGUAACGGACCACCAAGGCGACGAUACAUAGCCGACCUGAGAGGGUGAUAGGCCACACUAGGACAGGGACACGACCCGGACGCCUAAGAGAAGCGGCAGUAAGGAAUCUUCGGAAAUGGACGGAAGUCUGGCCAGGCAAAGCAGCGUGAGUGAAGAAGAAUUUCGGAUCGAGAAGCUCUGUUGUAAGAGAAGAACGAGUGUGAGAGUGGAAAGUUCACACUGUGACGGUAUCUGAGCAGAAAGGGACGGCUAACUACGUG
rnacentral:rRNA from 1 species